UGCUGUGAACUCGAAGAGUAGGGCGGGACACGUGGUAUCCUGUCUGAAUAUGGGGGGACCAUCCUCCAAGGCUAAAUACUCCUGACUGACCGAUAGUGAACCAGUACCGUGAGGGAAAGGCGAAAAGAACCCCGGCGAGGGGAGUGAAAAAGAACCUGAAACCGUGUACGUACAAGCAGUGGGAGCCUCUUUAUGGGGUGACUGCGUACCUUUUGUAUAAUGGGUCAGCGACUUAUAUUCUGUAGCAAGGUUAACCGUAUAGGGGAGCCGAAGGGAAACCGAGUCUUAACUGGGCGUUAAGUUGCAGGGUAUAGACCCGAAACCCGGUGAUCUAGCCAUGGGCAGGUUGAAGGUUGGGUAACACUAACUGGAGGACCGAACCGACUAAUGUUGAAAAAUUAGCGGAUGACCUGUGGCUGGGGGUGAAAGGCCAAUCAAACCGGGAGAUAGCUGGUUCUCCCCGAAAGCUAUUUAGGUAGCGCCUCGUGAACUCAUCUUCGGGGGUAGAGCACUGUUUCGGCUAGGGGGCCAUCCCGGCUUACCAACCCGAUGCAAACUACGAAUACCGAAGAAUGUUAUCACGGGAGACACACGGCGGGUGCUAACGUCCGUCGUGAAGAGGGAAACAACCCAGACCGCCAGCUAAGGUCCCAAAGUCAUGGUUAAGUGGGAAACGAUGUGGGAAGGCACAGACAGCCAGGAUGUUGGCUUAGAAGCAGCCAUCAUUUAAAGAAAGCGUAAUAGCUCACUGGUCGAGUCGGCCUGCGCGGAAGAUGUAACGGGGCUAAACCAUGCACCGAAGCUGCGGCAGCGACACUAUGUGUUGUUGGGUAGGGGAGCGUUCUGUAAGCCGUUGAAGGUGUGCUGUGAGGCAUGCUGGAGGUAUCAGAAGUGCGAAUGCUGACAUAAGUAACGAUAAAGCGGGUGAAAAGCCCGCUCGCCGGAAGACCAAGGGUUCCUGUCCAACGUUAAUCGGGGCAGGGUGAGUCGACCCCUAAGGCGAGGCCGAAAGGCGUAGUCGAUGGGAAACAGGUUAAUAUUCCUGUACUUGGUGUUACUGCGAAGGGGGGACGGAGAAGGCUAUGUCAGCCGGGCGACGGUUGUCCCGGUUUAAGCAUGUAGGCGGAGGUUCCAGGUAAAUCCGGUACCUUAUUAACGCUGAGGUGUGAUGACGAGGCACUACGGUGCUGAAGUGAUAAAUGCCCUGCUUCCAGGAAAAGCCUCUAAGCAUCAGGUAACACGAAAUCGUACCCCAAACCGACACAGGUGGUCAGGUAGAGAAUACCAAGGCGCUUGAGAGAACUCGGGUGAAGGAACUAGGCAAAAUGGUGCCGUAACUUCGGGAGAAGGCACGCUGAUAUGUAGGUGAAGCCCCUGCGGGCGGAGCUGAAAUCAGUCGAAGAUACCAGCUGGCUGCAACUGUUUAUUAAAAACACAGCACUGUGCAAACACGAAAGUGGACGUAUACGGUGUGACGCCUGCCCGGUGCCGGAAGGUUAAUUGAUGGGGUUAGCGGCAACGCGAAGCUCUUGAUCGAAGCCCCGGUAAACGGCGGCCGUAACUAUAACGGUCCUAAGGUAGCGAAAUUCCUUGUCGGGUAAGUUCCGACCUGCACGAAUGGCGUAAUGAUGGCCAGGCUGUCUCCACCCGAGACUCAGUGAAAUUGAACUCGCUGUGAAGAUGCAGUGUACCCGCGGCAAGACGGAAAGACCCCGUGAACCUUUACUAUAGCUUGACACUGAACACUGGUCCUUGAUGUGUAGGAUAGGUGGGAGGCUUUGAAGCGUGGACGCCAGUCUGCGUGGAGCCAACCUUGAAAUACCACCCUUUAAUGGCUGGUGUUCUAACGUGGACCCGUNNNNNNNNNNNCCGGGUUGCGGACAGUGUCUGGUGGGUAGUUUGACUGGGGCGGUCUCCUCCCAAAGAGUAACGGAGGAGCACGAAGGUUGGCUAAUCCUGGUCGGACAUCAGGAGGUUAGUGCAAUGGCAUAAGCCAGCUUGACUGCGAGCGUGACGGCGCGAGCAGGUGCGAAAGCAGGUCAUAGUGAUCCGGUGGUUCUGAAUGGAAGGGCCAUCGCUCAACGGAUAAAAGGUACUCCGGGGAUAACAGGCUGAUACCGCCCAAGAGUUCAUAUCGACGGCGGUGUUUGGCACCUCGAUGUCGGCUCAUCACAUCCUGGGGCUGAAGUAGGUCCCAAGGGUAUGGCUGUUCGCCAUUUAAAGUGGUACGCGAGCUGGGUUUAGAACGUCGUGAGACAGUUCGGUCCCUAUCUGCCGUGGGCGCUGGAGAAUUGAGGGGGGCUGCUCCUAGUACGAGAGGACCGGAGUGGACGCAUCACUGGUGUUCGGGUUGUCAUGCCAAUGGCACUGCCCGGUAGCUAAAUGCGGAAGAGAUAAGUGCUGAAAGCAUCUAAGCACGAAACUUGCCCCGAGAUGAGUUCUCCCUGAGACUUUAAGUCUCCUGAAGGAACGUUGAAGACGACGACGUUGAUAGGUCGGGUGUGUAAGCGCAGCGAUGCGUUGAGCUAACCGAUACUAAUGAACCGUGAGGCUUAACCUU
rnacentral:rRNA from 1 species